ACGAAAAAUAACGAUACGGGACUCAUCCGAGGCCCCGUAAUCGGAAUGAGUACACUCUAAACCCUUUAACGAGGAUCAAUUGGAGGGCAAGUCUGGUGCCAGCCGCCGCGGUAAUUCCAGCUCCAAUAGCGUAUAUUAAAGUUGUUGCGGUUAAAAAGCUCGUAGUCGAAUUUGUGUCCCGCGCCGCCGGUUCAUCGCUCGCGGUGUCAACUGGCGUGUCCGCGGGACGUCCUGCCGGUGGGCUUAGCCCCCCCGUGGGCGGCCCAAUCUCAAUCCCACCGCGGUGCUCUUCACUGAGUGUCGAGGCGGGCCGGCACGUUUACUUUGAACAAAUUAGAGUGCUUAAAGCAGGCUAAAACAUCGCCUGAAUACUGUGUGCAUGGAAUAAUGGAAUAGGACCUCGGUUCUAUUUUGUUGGUUUUCGGAACCCCGAGGUAAUGAUUAAUAGGAACGGAUGGGGGCAUUCGUAUUGCGACGUUAGAGGUGAAAUUCUUGGAUCGUCGCAAGACGGACAGAAGCGAAAGCAUUUGCCAAAAACGCUUUCAUUGAUCAAGAACGAAAGUUAGAGGUUCGAAGGCGAUCAGAUACCGCCCUAGUUCUAACCAUAAACGAUGCCAGCUAGCGAUCCGCCGACGUUCCUCCGAUGACUCGGCGGGCAGCUUCCGGGAAACCAAAGCCUUUGGGUUCCGGGGGAAGUAUGGUUGCAAAGCUGAAACUUAAAGGAAUUGACGGAAGGGCACCACCAGGAGUGGAGCCUGCGGCUUAAUUUGACUCAACACGGGAAACCUCACCAGGCCCGGACACCGGAAGGAUUGACAGAUUGAGAGC
rnacentral:rRNA from 1 species